CCCAAUGUGAACGUUACCAAACUGUUGCCUCGGCGGGGUCACGCCCCGGGUGCGUAAAAGCCCCGGAACCAGGCGCCCGCCGGAGGAACCAACCAAACUCUUUCUGUAGUCCCCUCGCGGACGUAUUUCUUACAGCUCUGAGCAAAAAUUCAAAAUGAAUCAAAACUUUCAACAACGGAUCUCUUGGUUCUGGCAUCGAUGAAGAACGCAGCGAAAUGCGAUAAGUAAUGUGAAUUGCAGAAUUCAGUGAAUCAUCGAAUCUUUGAACGCACAUUGCGCCCGCCAGUAUUCUGGCGGGCAUGCCUGUCCGAGCGUCAUUUCAACCCUCGAACCCCUCCGGGGGAUCGGCGUUGGGGAUCGGGACCCCUCACCGGGUGCCGGCCCUGAAAUACAGUGGCGGUCUCGCCGCAGCCUCUCCUGCGCAGUAGUUUGCACAACUCGCACCGGGAGCGCGGCGCGUCCACGUCCGUAAAACACCCAACUUCUGAAAUGUUGACCUCGGAUCAGGUAGGAAUACCCGCUGAACUUAAGCAUAUCAAUAGGCCGGAGGAA
rnacentral:rRNA from 1 species